CACCAGAGCCAUAUCUUCCUGCAGUUCUUGUCUGGUUUCCCACUGAAGCUAAGCAGGGUUGAGCCUGUCCAGUACCUGGAUACGAGACCUCCUGGGGAAAACUAAAGAAACUUGCUGC
rnacentral:rRNA from 1 species